rnacentral:rRNA from 1 species
UUAGGUGGUUAUAGCAGUGAGGUUCCACCUCUUCCCAUUCCGAACAGAGAAGUUAAGCUCACUUACGCCGAUGGUACUGCGGUUUUCCCGUGGGAGAGUAGGUAGCCGCCUCUUC